rnacentral:rRNA from 1 species
AGUGAACGCUGGCGGUAGGCCUAACACAUGCAAGUCGAACGGCAGCACAGUAAGAGCUUGCUCUUACGGGUGGCGAGUGGCGGACGGGUGAGGAAUACAUCGGAAUCUACUUUUUCGUGGGGGAUAACGUAGGGAAACUUACGCUAAUACCGCAUACGACCUACGGGUGAAAGCAGGGGAUCUUCGGACCUUGCGCGAUUGAAUGAGCCGAUGUCGGAUUAGCUAGUUGGCGGGGUAAAGGCCCACCAAGGCGACGAUCCGUAGCUGGUCUGAGAGGAUGAUCAGGCAAACUGGAACUGAGACAAGGGCCAGAAUCCUAAGGGAGGCAGCAGUGGGGAAUAUUGGACAAUGGGCGCAAGCCUGAUCCAGCCAUACCGCGUGGGUGAAGAAGGCCUUCGGGUUGGAAAGCCCUUUUGUUGGGAAAGAAAAGCAGCAGGUUAAUACCCCGCUGUUCUGACGGUACCCAAAGAAUAAGCACCGGCUAACUUCGUG